GGAAGCAAUGAGGCUAUUUUUUUCUAAGUAUAAUUUGAAGAGUUUUUUUGUUUUUUUAAAGAUACAUCUGAUGAUACGAUGUUUACAUAAAGAGACAAACUAUCUUCUUGCAGACUUGGAAAGAGUAGAAAUGAGGAUCUUUUCUUCCUUGCCAUAGGCUGCCCACCUCUUUCUACUUGUCAUCAGGCAAGGAGGGGUGGCUGCUAUACAGUCUGCCAGCCCGAGAACCUGUGUGCCACAGCUGUAUCCCACUUCACUCCUUUCUCUGUCUCCCAGGCUGCAGUGCCAAGUCUUAUCCUGUAAAGAUUCUAUCUGUUAAGGGAUAGACCUCCUGACAGCUUCAUCAUCUCCACGCAGAGCAGAGCACACUAGCUUAGGAGAGAGAAGCCGUCAAGUCUCUGUAGUGCUGGGGACUUACAGCUUUCUCUUUGUCACUGGGCCAUUUAUGUUAUGUAUAGUAUGGACAGCUGCACUUCUCUUCAGGUCUUCAGGCAUCUAAAAUUAUUGUAAAUUUGUUUUGGGCUUACAGGAGAUGGUAAGACCAGGAACUGAAUCAUGCCAGUGACUUCCUCCUGCACUCUGAAACUACCUCUUAGUCUCUUUACAACACUUGGCCCUUUGGGGAUCUUUCCUUCUAGUUACCCAAACCUCUCUUUCCUGUGCCUCAGAAGAAUUCUUACUUUUCCUUAGAAUUAUUAUUACAAUGACAUGCAUUCGUUUGUUUUUUUUUAAAGUAUUGGACUUGGGCUAAGUGGGGGGCAGGAAAGAAGGUCAGUGUCUUGUGUCUGUGGACAACAGGAUAGGGUCCUGAGGCAUGUUAGCAUUCCUCACUGGUGUUUCAGGAGAGCUGUCGGGAGCAAUAUUAGAUUCCCUCUCUAUGCCCCUCGGCCCACCACAUUUUCUCCUUUAUUCACGAAGACCGUCGGCUUUCUCACUGAGCACAGACAUAACUUAUCAGGCGCUGCUGCCACAGCUGCUCUUGUUCACAUAGUUUAACAUCCUUACCUGUGCUGUACACAUGCAGAAUUUUAUUGGGAGUGGGGUUUUCAAGAGAAUAUAAUUUUAUAUUAGUGUAAGAAUAUUAUACUAGGCAAAUGUUUAGUUAUCUGAAUUACGCUUAAGGUAUUGUAAUUUAAUAAUGGCAGGUUAACCAGAAGUCUACUGAAACGUAAAAUUAACUGGAAAUAAUUCCUUAAAUUUUAUAUUUUUGAAGACUUUAGCCUGAAACAACCUUUUACUUUAGAAUGUUGAAAAUGCAUGCUGCUUAAGAUUUGUCUAGUUCAAAAUUCAAACCUUGCUGGGUCAUUUUUACACAGGGAACAUCCUGGUAGCCAUGUAUUGCCUGGUGGAUGUUUUUUGUUUAUUUUGAAUUCUGGACACUUUUGGGAUAAAGAAUAGUUAAACUUGCCACCUAGGACAAAGCUGGAUGUAGCAGAGCUGGUUUGGGGGUUUGGGGUUGCAACAAAUAGAAAACAAAAACAGUGAGCUCAGAGGAAUGGAGCAUCAUGUAGGAUUUGCCACGGUAUUGGUGGGGAGGGCGUAUUUAACUAAAACAUAGAAGGGGGUCUAUAAGGUCACUUCUUCAUAUGGCUUGUCAGUUGUUUUGUAAAUUACAGACUUUAACACGACUUGCUCUUUUAAGCCCAAAAGGAAAAACAUUUAUCCUUUCAGAGUGUCUGGAAUGUUUAUAGUAAUAAUUUCUAUAAAAACACUCAUGGAUACAUUUUUGGUGUUUUUUUUUUUUUAAAUUGCAGUGAGAACCACAUAUCAUAAGGUUUGUCGUCCUGACUGCUUCUAAACAUGCAGUUCAGAAGGGUCACUUCCUCUCCGUUUGUUGGGAAACACGCAUAGAACUUUAUCCUGCACCUAUCAAAGGCUUCCUUCUUCCUUCCAUCUGGGCAACAGGGUUCUGACUACUUAGAACACCAGCACUCAGAUUGCUGACUAGAGUCAUUUGUGUUUGCAAGACCCAAACCUGGGUCAACAUCAGGCUCCUGAGAUUUGAGGAAGGGCACCUCUCCCCUGCCAUAACUGCUAUUUUUUUUACAUGUAUGUUAAUUGAAAGAGUUUAUUAUUUCGUUAUGAGCCAGAGGGGGGAAGCACAUUUUAAAUAUGGGAAAUAAGUUAGCUUUGGUUUUGUACUGUAUUGGGAAGGUAAUAGAUUUUUCACAAGUGAUUUGUGCCUUGUUAUAAAUGUCAAUUGUCAUUGAGUCUACUUGUCAAAGUCACAGAAUACAUUUUUCUUUCAAAAUGGCAACCUGAUUUAGCUUGUUUGAAUAUUACAAUAGGAAUGCUUACUGAUACUACUUGAUAAUCAUGUAUAUCCUUUUGACUUACACACACAAACACACAUGAGACAACAGGAUUGAUAAUUGCAGUUGUAUGUCUUUAAACACUAAACGUAGGAAGCUUUUUAAUGUUGCCUUGUGUGUGUGUGUUGCUUUACUGCAGUGAGGGAGAAAUCCUUUGCACCAAGCUUCAGUGGCUGAUAAGUGGCUAGCAGUGGGUAAAAUUACAAUGUAAAAAUAGGGGUGGAUAGUUAAUAACGUUAAGUUGCUACCUUGGCAUUUUCUACCUCCUUUUCUACGAGAAUACUGCUUUUCUUUCACCCAUCUAGCAUCUUGUCUUAUUUGUGGGAGAAAAGGAAACAACCUGAAGAUAAAGUUAGAUUUUCUUUUUUUUUUUUUUUGAGAAUUUAAGCAAUAGAUACAGGAAAAGUGGCCUGUCACAUUAAUUUGGUGCCUAAAUGUAAAGGUUUGAACUGAUAAAUAAAACUGUCUAAGAAGGAGAGUAGUGCUGAGUAUUUGGACUGUCCUGUAUAGUUCUCUUGAUUUUAUUUCAUAAACAUGACUUCUUUCUUCAAAAGCAAAGUGGUUUUCUAAUUUUUUAUGAAAUAAGCAAAUAUGCCAUUUUGUCUGAGUACAGUUUCAGGAAGCUAUUGAAAGUUCUGGCUCAGGGCUUUUUAACAGUUAAAGCAAUUGUUAAUAUAUUUUGGAAACUCCAUCUGCAUAACUCUUCAGUGCCUUGAUUAACUUGGCAACACUUAAAAAAACUUUGUACUAGGUAACCUUCAGUGCACCAGUCAUGAUAUGCACGUUCUGAUCAUACUGCUAAGCAUGUGCAAGAACACCUCUACGUGUGGGUUUGCAUAAUUCUAUAAGGGAAGUGUUCUACAUUUGCACUUGAUACUUUUUUUUUAUUAUUAUUACUCUGUUUUUUUACAAACUGAUUAUUCAAGGCCAUGGCACUGUUACCAGAAAAAUGGUGUUUGCUGUCUAUAUGCAAGUCUAUUUAGCUGCUGGGGAGAGGACAGAGCUCACACUUUGUAUCUAAUACAAAAAGAAGAUCAAUACAAAAAAAAAAGAUCAUCUUCCUCUCAAGUGGAAACCAAACCAAGCCAAACCCUUUGUUUAAGUGGCUCAGUUAAAUGAUUAAUUGAAAGGAAAUCAUGAAUUGCAUGUCAUUCUUCAUGCUGAUCUGUAGACUAAAAGCAUGUUUUUCUGUCUCCUUCAGGAUGUGUCUGCCAUUCUAAGUACAGUAUAUUCAAAUGGUAGAAAAAAAAGCUGACUCAAAGGUUUUACGCUUUGUAAUUUUUCCAGUUCUUUUUAGCUUUCAAUGUUGGAAUAAAUUUAAGUCUUGUUUAUGGCUAAAGUUUCUGUAUGGAAAAAUGAUUCUUGCUUAUUAGCUUUUGUUUAAGAAAAAAAGCUUAGUAAAAACUAAGCUUUUAAAAAUAAAUGCAAACAUUUACCAUUAAUAAAAUCUGUGGUGU
rnacentral:lncRNA from 1 species